CCUACGGGAGGCAGCAGUGAGGAAUAUUGGUCAAUGGACGAGAGUCUGAACCAGCCAAGUAGCGUGAAGGAUGACUGCCCUAUGGGUUGUAAACUUCUUUUAUAUGGGAAUAAAAUGUUCCACGUGUGGGAUUUUGUAUGUACCAUAUGAAUAAGGAUCGGCUAACUCCGUGCCAGCAGCCGCGGUAAUACGGAGGAUCCGAGCGUUAUCCGGAUUUAUUGGGGUUGAAGGGAGCGUAGGUGGAUUGUUAAGGCAGGGGUGAAAGUUUGCGGCUCAACCUUAAAAUUGCAGUUGAAACUGGAAGUCUUGAGUACAGUAGAGGUAGGCGGAAUUCGUGGUGUAGCGGUGAAAUGCUGAGAUAUCACGAAGAACUCCGAUUGCGAAGGCAGCUCACUGGACUUCAACUGACACUGAGGCUCGAAAGUGUGGGUAUCAAACAGGAUUAGAUACCCCUGUAGUC
rnacentral:rRNA from 1 species